ensembl:lncRNA
GCCAGGGGCAGGUGCCAGGGGCAGGGCCCAGUGCUCACAGCUGGGGGACACCUGUACUUACGCCAAGAUCAGAAGUGACAGGAGCUCGAGGCUGUUUCUUUUCUGAACAGAGGAACGGUGGCUGCAUCACGAUAACAACAAGUACAAGCGUCUGUCACUCAGUCGUGUCCGGCUCUGUGUGGCCCCAGGCACUGAGGCCCGCCAGGCUCCUCUGUCCAUGGGAUUCUCCAGGCGAGAAUACUGGACGGGGUUGUCAUGCCUUCCUCCAGGGGGAUCUUCCUGACUCAGGGACAACAGUAGUAAACAAUUGAAAAAAUUCUGGCCAGGUGUGGUCAGUUCUGCACACUUGGCCUCUGGUUGCAUCUGCCUGGAGCGACCAGCAGGCGAGAGGAAGAAUCCUGCAUGGCUCCCUCACCCACAAGCGCACGGGCAAGUGCGAGGGCAGGGCCUGCUUCCUGCCCAGCUUCCCCGGGGUGGGUGCGGGGCAGUGCAUCUCCUGGCCUGGAGGGACGGACCCGUAGAGUCCAUCUACUUUAGGCUGUGCUUUGCACAGACCUGUGUCCCCCAGAAGAUGUGGGGGUCAUAACCCUCAGGACCUGGGUGUGGCCUUAGUCGGAAACAAGGUCUUUGCAGAUGAUCAAGUUAAGAUGAGGUCACUAGGGUGGGUCCUGAUCCCACAGGACUGGGGUCCUUAUAGGAAGAGGUCAGGACACAAACACACACAGAGAGGCACGACCCUGUGAGGACAGGGGGAGGAGGCGGCUGUCUGCACGCCCAGGAGAGAGGCCUCAGGAGGACCAGCCGUGCCUACACCUGGGUCUGGGAUUCCAGCCUCCGACUGGGAGAAAUAAAUGCCUUUGAUUAGGGACCGUGUGUGGGACUGUUGCUGCAGCCGAGCAGAGAAGGCACAAUGCUGGGGUGCCUCCCAUCCCUUCUCCCAUCACCAGGGCUUCUGGUUGGGAGGCGGGGGUGGCCUCCACACACCUGGAUUUGUGUGCAAGCCGAACCCAGUCCUGGAGACUCAGAGUCACAUGCUGGAGCCUGGGGCUGGGCCGGGCUUUCCCAGCCGGAAUCUGAGACCACAGCAGGAAUUGAGGUGACUGUGGGCAGCCCCGCAGGUAGCGUCCCCUCCAUCUUCACCUGGGGGGCCAGUUUCAGGCCCAACCUGACAGGUCCUCUUCCUACUGCAGCCCCAGAGGAGGGGACCCAGAAGCUGGACCCCCAGGUGGAGCCAGGGCCUGUCCCUUGCCUCUGGGGAUGGUGGUUAAAACUAGGUGCUGGAGAGGGCCAGGCUGGUCACAGCACCCCUCACCUGGUGGCCCCAAGUCGGAGAGUCACUGGGCAGGCUGGCUCUGUGCCCCACCCCCACCUGCCUCCCUAGGGUCUGGUGGUCGCCGGAUCUGGGACACAUUAAGGCCGACUUGUUGUCAUUGAAGGGAAACGUCUGUGAUGAAGCUGGUGGAGGGCUGAGUCAGUGGUCCCGAGAGGACCCGUGUGGUGGCCAGGCUGUGCUGUAAGCUAGCCGGGCCUCAGGGCUGGAGGGAGACGUGAGGACCACUCCGGGGUCCCCGAAUUUUAGGCAGACUUGGCAGGUACCCGUUACCCCUCCACUGGUCACCACUCCCCGGGGGUGGAGGUGCCAGCCUGCUGCCACUAAGGGAAGAACCUCUGGCUUCUUCUGGUAGCAGAUGGAUCUUGGUCUCCUUGGUGGUCUGGCCGUCGGCCAGGACAGGUGGAUGCCGAUGGUCUGAGGGUUGCAGGGGGCUGUGGCGGGUUUGCCUGGCUCCACGUUAAGUGCUUCCCGCAUUCUCCCAUUCACCCCCUUGACAGUCCACUGCGUGAUGUCAGCCUCCGUUUUAUGCCUUUUAAUGACUCUCCAAGGUCUCUGGGACCAGCCGAGUCCUCCAUCUUCAUUCUUGUCCUGGAGACCACUUCCCCACGCUGUCCCCUAGGAGGACGAGUGGCUCAGAGACACAGUUCCUGCCUUUGGGAAUCUACAUCCAGCUGAGGAGACACAGGUUAAAAGUCCAGGAGGCAAGAAGACACUUAAAGGGGUACCGUGGCCACCCCGGCCCCCGCAGGCUGGACAGGAGUGUGGAGCCAAGGAGGCAACCCCAGUGGCCAGAGGAGGCUCCCCAUUGCCUUCCCUGUGGGUGGGGACCGCGGGCAGAGGCUGGGAGAGCCAUGCUCCAGAGGUCCAGGCCCUUGGCCACUUUCCCAGGGCUGUCCGAGCCUCAUGCCUCGGAACCUUCCCGCCUGUGUCUCUGUCAGGCACUCCUUGCGUGCAUGGCACUGUGCAGGCAGCUCUCACCUGCAGGGGCAUCUGGAGCAGCUUUGAGAGAAGAGGGCAGGCCACCCACUGGC